rnacentral:rRNA from 1 species
UACGCAGGGGGCAAGCGUUGUCCGGAAUUACUGGGCGUAAAGGGCUCGUAGGCGGCCAACUAAGUCGGACGUGAAAUCCCCAGGCUCAACCUGGGAACUGCGUCCGAUACUGGAUGGCUUGAAUUCGGGAGAGGGAUGCAGAAUUCCAGGUGUAGCGGUGAAAUGCGUAGAUAUCUGGAGGAAUACCGGUGGCGAAGGCGGCAUCCUGGACCGACAUUGACGCUGAGGAGCGAAAGCUAGGGGAGCAAACGGG